GGAGAGGUGUCCGAGCGGUUGAAGGAGCACGCCUGGAAAGUGUGUAUACCCUAACCGGUAUCAAGGGUUCGAAUCCCUUCCUCUCCGCCA
rnacentral:tRNA from 1 species